rnacentral:misc_RNA from 1 species
GCGCAAACAACUGCCAGCUCCUUUUUAAAUGUAUUAGCAGAGCAGUGUAGGACUGGCCUCGGUUUGAUAAGAAACUUUAUCUAUGCUGUCGCUGGGUUUCCUCUUUGUGCUCAGCUUCAAAUUGUCUUCGGACUGUCUCUUGAGGCAACAAAUCUCUAUUGAUCGACCUCAAAUCAGGUAGGACUACCCGCUGAACUUAA